ACGGCGAGCGAAGAGGGAAGAGUCCAGCGCCGAACUCCACCGAAUGUAGGCGGUCGGAGUCUGUGGCGUUAGGGAGGGAGCGUGCCGGUGGACGGACGUCGGAGCAAGUCCUCCUGAACGGGGCUGUUUCCCAGAGCGGGUGCCAGGCCCAUAGGUCCGACGACCCCGCCGGAUAGCGAUCCUCUCCAGAGUCGGGUUACUUGGAAGUGUAACUCUAAGGAGGUGGUAAACUCCACCCAAGGCUAAAUACUGCCGUGAGACCGAUAGCGAACAAGUACCGUGAGGGAAAGUUGCAAAGAACUUUGAAGAGAGAGUUCAAGAGUACGUGAAACUGCUGAGAGGCAAACUGGUGGGCCCUCGAAAUCCCGUCUGCGGGGAGAUUCAGUCGGGUGUCGGCGGCCGUCUCGCAAUGGGUCUGUCGCAACCGAAGAUCGGGGCACAUUCCGAGAGGCGAGUUCGCCGGAACCCGACGCAUUUCCCGCCCGCACGAAAGGACGCCGCAGCCGGUCGGGUAGCUGCGCGUGUCGGCCAUGAGGACGUGGCGACGGCAGGUGACCGGCGGCCCUAGGCUUCUCCGGAGGCACUAACGGUCGACGGUUGAUUAGCCGGCUCGUCCGUGGCGCGACACCCGACCGAGGAAACACGGACUAAAUAGUUUCUCUCCACGGAGAGAAACCGAUAAUCCACUACUUUCAAUACGAGAGCGAGCCGUCGGACAGGCGCGUUCCUGCGUGGUCGGACAGUCACCGCACUGGUCGAUCUGGUGGGAGCGCGUCGUUGGUUUCCGAGUCAGGA
rnacentral:rRNA from 1 species